GACGUAGGGCGCGAGCGUUGUCCGGAUUUAUUGGGCGUAAAGAGCUCGUAGGCGGCUUGUUGCGUCGACCGUGAAAACCCGCGGCUUAACCGUGGGCUUGCGGUCGAUACGGGCGGGCUGGAGUUCGGUAGGGGAGACUGGAAUUCCUGGUGUAGCGGUGAAAUGCGCAGAUAUCGGGAGGAACACCUAUGGCGAAGGCAGCUCGCUGGGACGUUACUGACGCUGAGACGCGAAAGCGUGGGGAGCAAACAGG
rnacentral:rRNA from 1 species